UCCGGUUUGUCACCGGCAGUCUGGCGUGAGUCCCCAACUUAAUGCUGGCAACAUGCCACGGGGGUUGCGCUCGUUGCGGGACUUAACCCAACAUCUCACGACACGAGCUGACGACAGCCAUGCAGCACCUGUGUUCCGGCCAGCCGAACUGAAGGGGAAUGUCUCCACUCCCCAUACCGGACAUGUCAAAGGCUGGUAAGGUUCUGCGCGUUGCUUCGAAUUAAGCCACAUGCUCCACCGCUUGUGCGGGCCCCCGUCAAUUCCUUUGAGUUUCAGCCUUGCGGCCGUACUCCCCAGGCGGGGCACUUCAUGCGUUAGCGCCGGCACCCAGGGGGUCGCUCCCCCAGGCACCUAGUGCCCAUCGUUUACGGCGUGGACUAC
rnacentral:misc_RNA from 1 species